GAUGAACGCUGGCGGCGUGCCUAAUACAUGCAAGUAGAACGCUGAAGGAGGAGCUUGCUCUUCUGGAUGAGUUGCGAACGGGUGAGUAACGCGUAGGUAACCUGCCUGGUAGCGGGGGAUAACUAUUGGAAACGAUAGCUAAUACCGCAUGACAACAGUUAUUGCAUGAUAACUGUUUAAAAGUGGCAACUGCUCCACUACCAGAUGGACCUGCGUUGUAUUAGCUAGUUGGUGAGGUAACGGCUCACCAAGGCGACGAUACAUAGCCGACCUGAGAGGGGGAGCAGCCGCACUGGGAGUGGGACAGGGCACAGACGGCUACGGGAGGCAGCAGGAGGGCAUCGGGGGCAAGGGGCGGAAGUCUGACCGAGCAACGCCGAGUGAGUGAAGAACGGUUUCGGAUCGGAAAGCUCGGUUGUAAGGGAAGAAAGAGUGUGAGAGUGGAAAGUUCACACUGUGACGGUAUCUGACCAGAAAGAGGCGGCUAACUACGUG
rnacentral:rRNA from 1 species